rnacentral:rRNA from 1 species
AUUGAACGCUGGCGGCAGGCCUAACACAUGCAAGUCGAGCGGUAACACAGAGAGCUUGCUCUCGGGUGACGAGCGGCGGACGGGUGAGUAAUGUCUGGGAAACUGCCUGAUGGAGGGGGAUAACUACUGGAAACGGUAGCUAAUACCGCAUAACGUCGCAAGACCAAAGAGGGGGACCUUCGGGCCUCUUGCCAUCAGAUGUGCCCAGAUGGGAUUAGCUAGUAGGUGGGGUAACGGCUCACCUAGGCGACGAUCCCUAGCUGGUCUGAGAGGAUGACCAGCCACACUGGAACUGAGACACGGUCCAGACUCCUACGGGAGGCAGCAGUGGGGAAUAUUGCACAAUGGGCGCAAGCCUGAUGCAGCCAUGCCGCGUGUAUGAAGAAGGCCUUCGGGUUGUAAAGUACUUUCAGCGGGGAGGAAGGUGCUGAGGUUAAUAACCUCAGCAAUUGACGUUACCCGCAGAAGAAGCACCGGCUAACUCCGUGCCAGCCGCCGCCGUAAAAC